rnacentral:snoRNA from 1 species
GAGACCAUACUAUACAGAAUCAUUUCUGCAGUAUGUAUCUCGUAAUCCCCUAUAAUUUGGUAGAGAUGCCAACUGCGAUGAAAGGGAGACGGGCAGGCCGCGAGCGUGAAACAGUUCUUAUGAACUUGAUGACCGCACGGAGCCGUAGUGGCCUGCUCUUCUGAGCAGU